CCUAAAGAGAAUUAUAGGCACAGCAUGGAGGUGAUAACCCCUUUUCUCCCACAUUUCAGGCAUUUUGAGCAUUGUCCCAGUCCAUCUGUUCUAGUCUAUGCUACUUCUCUGCAAUGAAAGAGAACCAGAGGUCUCUGGGAGACAAAGCAGAGUACAAUGAUUCUCUUACAAUAUCCUUACAAUAACCUUCUCUGAGUGCAGAUUAUUGCUUGGCAUCCUAGUGGAGUUUUACCCUGGCUGUGUAUUCAGCAAUCAUCUUCAGAGCUAGCAUGCUUUCCAUGAAAAACUCCUGAGCAUCAGACUAUAACCAUAGUUAAGGAAUGGAGAAGAUCCCUGAUUGGAAGGCUUUUGGCAGCAAACACACAAAUAAAUGUGUACAUCUGACAGAUAAUGUGGUUUGGUUUUGCGUGGAUGUGUGUGCCUACCUGCAAAAACAGAAAACCGGGUGAGGAAAACUAAUCAUACAAAGAGAAAAGUCAAAACUCACUGUGUCCUUCUAUCAAAACUUCUCUUCAACAGGAAAAAAAAAAGAACUGUGUUGAUAUGCAGCUUAUUUCUUCCACAGCCAGCUGAAAAAACUGACAUUCCUGCCAAGCACGACAAUACCAUCCCAGUCAACAAACUUUUAUGCAUAUCCUACUUCACGGUAUCUUAUCAGCAAUAAAUUGCAUUCCUAAUGGGUGAAUAAAGAGAUUGCAACAUGCCAGAACCAGGGCUAGUUUUUACAAGUCUACUCAGUGGACAAGCAAAAUGAAGAGGAUUAUUACAAACUGCUUUGAAGAGCCAGCUAUGUAAUAAUGAAUUUUAAAAAUUGUGAGGGGUUUUUGUAUGCACCUUGACAAAAAUAAAGCUUUGCAGAAGUUAAGAAAAUAUUCAUUGCAUCAAGAGCCACAAGAGCCACAAGAAUGAGCAACGUGAUUGACAGAAGGUUUUAAAAGAAUUGUGACAUUUUUGGCUAAAGCAAUCAUAGGAUCGCAGUGCAGUAGAAAUGGCUUUGGGAGAAAGUUGAAACCAUGCUGAACCCUCUCAUUUAUCUGCAAAAACAUAUUACUCACGUGGCAACAAUACUGACACUGUAUUGAACUGUUAUAUAGUAUCGUCCGCAAUUCAUUUUGGAUAAGAAAAGUAAAAUGUGAUUCAUCUAGUGUGCUCUGUUCCCCAAACAUAUAGUGUGCUAUCCAGUUGGUUUUUACAAUGCAAUAUAUAGGAGAUCGAAUCCCAGUGAGAUAGUUUCAUGAAUUUAUCACUUAUGGCUACAGAUAUGGUAUACUGUGGCAAUUAUCAGUUUGCAAGAAUAAGAUCUCUCUGCUUCAGAGUACCACGGUCACGACAAUGCAUCAACUAUAUGAUGACAUUACACACUUUUAUAGGCACAAUUAAAAAGACUGAAUGAGUUUGCUGAGUGUGUUCUCUGUAUGGGGUAAUGCUUAACUGUAAUAAUUAUAUAUUGAAUGAUGCAUGCGAGUUAUGUCGCGUGACCUGAUUAGUCAGAAAUAGUGUUUCCACUCUUUGGAAUGAGAUUGCUAUCAGUUGCAAUAAAACAAGCAAGACUCUACUUGAUGUGAACUGUGUGCUGCUAACAUGGUUGAGCCUUUGAACUUGUAUAUAAGACAUUUGAGAGACUAAUUCUAAGGAGCUGAAAUGGAGGUAGAGCGAACAGUUUCAGAACCUGACUGCAAUGACAGGAAUGGAGGAUGAAACACAGCACUGUUGAGAAGAGCCUUUGUUGCAAGGAUCAGACGUGGCAGAUUCUGCAAGCCUGGCAGCCCUGGCGGCAUAGCUCUGCUGGUUUAAUUACCAGUGCUGCUCACAGGGUGGAGGAAACCUUCAUAGUAGUGGGAGAACCACAGGUCAAUCUCCUGGCUGGUCCCAAACCGGCCCAGCUCAAAUGCUUUGUCAGCCACUGCCCUUGCUAACACAGCGCCUGCCCUCCUGCUCUGCAGGCUUUGGAGCUGUGCUCCCGGAGUCACCCUUGAACGCGGGUGACAAGUGAGGCAUUUGUCCUAGCAGAUGGGGUACACGGAAGGCAGACCUUGGCUACAUGCAAGCUGUCCUUGUUGAAACACAUAUCAGACUGACCCUGCUCGCUGCAGGACAUCACCUGACCAAGGCCAGUCCAGAACUACUGGGAAAGAGAAGGAGCAAGUCAGAGCCAGGUCUGAACUUGUAAAACUCUAUGGCCUCUCCAGAUUGCAAGCUUGAGUGAAUGCAAUUAAAAAGAUGAUGACUAGAUCUAAAGAAGAAUUUGGGAUAAUUUUGCAGUGAAAAUUUCCUUCUUCACUGAAUCCAACUGGGGGAAAGAGGAAAUGUAUGCUAUAGGCAACAGCUCACAUUAACAACAACUACUGCCUUUUUCCACAAAAUUUUGACCUCAAAAAGCAAGAAGUGCCAGACACUCCAAAAAUACCCCUCAUACUGUUUAAGGAAGUGCUCAAAAUACUGUGGUGAUGGACAGCAUUACAGAAUAUCCAGGAUUACAUUAUGGAAUGAACUACUUUUAAAUGUGGAAUCACCAUGCGAACUGGCAAUCACAUCUCAUUCAACAUGCUGUUAUUUAUGUAUCACCAGAACCACACAUGGUGCUCAACAGACAAAGGAAAAAUUAAAACCCCCAGAGCAUGAGUUUGAUCAUCAUAAUUAAACAUAAUCAGAUUGGAAGAUAUUUUUUCAAUUAUUUUUGUUGCAUUGUGCUGUGUCACAUUUGCUGUGAAAUGCCAAUUUAUGAAAAAUGAAAGAUUUUGCAGGAAAAGAUUAACUAGUAUGAAUUUCUCGUUCGACUGUGCUGAGAGAAAAUGUCAAUACAAAGCAAUGCUUUAGCCGUGUUCCAAAAGAAAACCUUUGUAUGCCACACUGGCUUUUCGCUUUUAUGUGUGAGUCAACCUGUAUUAAAAUUACACUACUGGUUUUUAUUGAUGAGUCAUCACAAGUGAGUGUCUUGAUAAUUUAUCUCACAUUAAACUGUAAGGAUUUAUAUUUUCC
ensembl:lncRNA